CAGAGCAAAGGCCUUCUGCAGUUGCCGGGCUGUUCUCCCAGCUCGGAGCGCUGCACGCUCACUGACUGCAGCUUCCACGAAUUGUCGUCCGUGCUUGUGGAUUGGGAGCGCUGUCCUCCUCCACCAUGCCAGCCUUUUCUCUUUACAGAGGAGCACGUGUACAUAAGGGUAAAGAGAUUCCUUCUGUCACACUGGUAUUUGGACCUGAGAAAGGUACCAGGUUUUCUCCAGCUUUUCUACAGUUUUGAUUUUGAGUACAAAACAGCACGAGUGGAUCCUCAGAUUUCUUGGGGAAGGGCUGCGUGACAAACAUUGCUGUGAGCUCUAUGUCUACCAGAGGAUUUUCCAGGUCAUUCUUGCCUUUUUCAGCAGUCCUUUGUGUGACCAGGGCUCCCAGCGUCGUAUUCUGGAGAUACGACAGAGUGCUGCCCGUGUCACCUCUAGAGCUGCCCAUGAGCUGAUAGAGGAUCACAGC